UUAGCGAGAUGUAGGUGAGAAUCCUACACACUGAAAGCCCAAGGAUUCCAGGGGAAGGUUCGUCCGCCCUGGGUAAGUCGGGACCUAACGCGAGGCCGAAAGGCGUAGUGGAUGGAAAGCAGGCGAAAGAUUCCUGCACCCGUAUAUGGAGCGAAGGAGUGACGGAGACGGAUAGUGUGACCCUCUUAAUGGAUUGAGGGCGAAGCGAAGCGGCUGGUUACCAGGCAAAUCCGGUAACCAUAAGGCUAGAUCGUGACAGGUAAGCGAAAUCUUAGGAAAGUAGCGAAGCACAUGAUGACGGCUUCCAGGAAAAGCUUCUGGCAAUGCAUAUGCGGCCCGUACCAAAACCGACACAGGUGGGCAGGGAGAGAAUCCCGAGGUGAGCGAGAGAACUGUUGCCAAGGAACUCGGCAAAAUGACUCCGUAAGUUAGCGAGAAGGAGUGCUUAAGCAAUUAAGCCGCAGUGAAGAGGCCCAAGCGACUGUUAACUAAAACACAGCUCUCUGCGAAGUCGCAAGACGAAGUAUAGGGGGUGACACCUGCCCGGUGCUGGAAGGUUAAGAGGAUCUGUUAAGAGCGAUCUGAAGCAGUGAUCCGAAGCCCCAGUGAACGGCGGCCGUAACAAUAACGGUCCUAAGGUAGCGAAAUUCCUUGUCAGGUAAGAUCUGACCCGCACGAAAGGUGUAACGAUUUGGGCGCUGUCUCGGCAGCAGACUCGGUGAAAUCUUAGUACCUGUGAAAAUGCAGGUUACCCGCAACUAGACGGAAAGACCCCAUGGAGCUUUACUGCAGCCUGAUAUUGAAUUCUGGUCAUACAUGUACAGGAUAGGUGGGAGACAAAGAGACGUGCACGCCAGUGUACGAGGAGUCGACGUUGGGAUACCACUCUUGUGUGACUGGGGUUCUAACCUGGUAUCGAGAACAGGUACGGGGAGAGUGUCAGGUGGGCAGUUUGACUGGGGCGGUCGCCCCCCAAAGAGUAACGGAGGCGCCCAAAGGUACGCUCAGAUUGGAUGGAAACCAAUCGUCGAGUGCAAUUGCAGAAGCGUGCUUGACUGUGAGACAGACAAGUCGAACAGGGACGAAAGUCGGGAAUAGUGAUCCGGCGGUGCCGAAUGGAAGGGCCGUCGCUCAACGGAUAAAAGCUACCCUGGGGAUAACAGGCUGAUCUCGCCCAAGAGUUCACAUCGACGGCGAGGUUUGGCACCUCGAUGUCGGCUCAUCGCAUCCUGGAGCUGGAUUCGGUUCCAAGGGUUGGGCUGUCCGCCCAUUAAAGCGGUACGCGAGCUGGGUUCAGAACGUCGUGAGACAGUUCGGUCCCUAUCUGUUGUGGGCGAAGGAGAUCUGCGGAGAGCUGUCCUCAGUACGAGAGGACCGGGAUGGACCUACCGCUGGUGCACCGGUUGUUCCGCCAGGGGCAUAGCCGGGUAGCUAAGUAGGGAAAGGAUAAGCGCUGAAAGCAUCUAAGCACGAAGCCUACUCCAAGAUGAGAUCUCCCAUUCGCAAGAAGUAAGACCCCUUAAAGACGAUAAGGUAGAUAGGCCAGGGAUGGAAGUGCAGUGAUGUACGGAGUUGACUGGUACUAAUCGGUCGAGGACUUAAGC
rnacentral:rRNA from 1 species